rnacentral:tRNA from 1 species
GCCAAUGUAGCUCAGUCGGUAGAGCAAUUCAUUCGUAAUGAAUAGGUCGUCGGUUCGAUUCCGACCAUUGGCU